rnacentral:rRNA from 1 species
AGGGUUUGAUCCUGGCUCAGGACGAACGCUGGCGGCGUGCCUCAUACAUGCAAGUCGAGCGAAGGGUUAUGAAUUUAUUCAUAACGACUUAGCGGCGGACGGGUGAGUAACACGUGAACAACCUGCCCUUCAGACAGGGAUAACAGUGGGAAACUGCUGCUAAUACCCGAUAUAAUUUAUUAAUAGCAUUAUUAAUAAAUGAAAGGCUAUGUGCUGAAGGAUGGGUUCGCGUUCCAUUAGUUAGUUGGCGGGGUAACGGCCUACCAAGACGAUGAUGGAUAGCCGACCUGAGAGGGUGACCGGCCACAUAGGAACUGAGACACGGUCCUAACUCCUACGGGGGGCAGCAGUCGGGGAUAUUGCACAAUGGAGGAAACUCUGAUGCAGCGACGCCGCGUGAGCGAAGAAGGUCUUCGGAUUGUAAAGCUCUGAUGCGAGAGAUGAAGGAAGUGACAGUAUCUCGCCAGCAAGCACCGGCUAACUACGUGCCAGCAGCCGCGGUAAUACGUAGGGUGCAAGCGUUGUCCGGAAUUACUGGGCGUAAAGGGAGCGCAGGUGGUUAUUUAAGUCAAUAGUAAAAGGCAUGGGCUUAACCCAUGUAAGCUAGUGAAACUAAAUAACUUGAGUAUGGUAGAGGUAAGCGGAAUUCCUAGUGUAGCGGUGAAAUGCGUAGAUAUUAGGAGGAACACCAGUGGCGAAGGCGGCUUACUGGGCCAUAACUGACACUGAGGCUCGAAAGCGUGGGGAGCAAACAGGAUUAGAUACCCUGGUAGUCCACGCCGUAAACGAUGAGUGCUAGGUGUCGGGGGUUUAGAUACCCUCGGUGCUGUAGUUAACGCAAUAAGCACUCCGCCUGGGGAGUACGAUCGCAAGAUUGAAACUCAAAGGAAUUGACGGGGGCCCGCACAAGCAGCGGAGCAUGUGGUUUAAUUCGAAGCAACGCGAAGAACCUUACCAAGUCUUGACAUCCUCUGAUCGCUAUAGAAAUAUAGCUUUCCCUUUGGGACAGAGAGACAGGUGGUGCACGGUUGUCGUCAGCUCGUGUCGUGAGAUGUUGGGUUAAGUCCCGCAACGAGCGCAACCCUUGUGUUUAGUUGCCAGCACGUAAUGGUGGGGACUCUAGACAGACUGCCGGUGACAAACCGGAGGAAGGUGGGGAUGACGUCAAAUCAGCAUGCCCUUUAUGACUUGGGCUACACACGUGCUACAAUGGUUCGUACAAAGAGAAGCGAAGUCGCGAGGCUAAGCGGAUCUCAUAAAGCGAAUCUCAGUUCGGAUUGCAGGCUGCAACUCGCCUGCAUGAAGUUGGAGUUGCUAGUAAUCGUAGGUCAGCAAUACUACGGUGAAUACGUUCCCGGGCCUUGUACACACCGCCCGUCACACCACGAGAGUUAGUAACACCCGAAGCCGGUGGCCAAACCGCAAGGAUGGAGCCGUCGAAGGUGGGAUUAGCGAUUGGGGUGAAGUCGUAACAAGGUAGCCG